AGUGAUUUUCAAAAAUAAGAAUGUAGAGUUCCUUAAUUUGUUUUCUCCAGUGGUAUCACUUUCUCAGUUCAUUACUGAGCCCUUCCUGAAUAGUGGCUUGGAACUAGAAUAAGGACUGCUGACUUUUCUCAGAGUAGGAGGGACUCAGGAAAUGCCCCUCAGGAGAAACUAAAUGGAAUUUUGGACACAAAUUAGAAAUUAAAUAAACUCAAUUAAAUUGAUUAGAUAUAAGUGAAUAUGAAUGUUGACUUUCAUUUUGUCAUGACAGUUGAAUUUAGUCACUGUGUUCAGGUUACUGUCUUGACCUGAAGAUUUCUUUGUAAAAUCUGAUGCAACAGUAGAGCACAAGAUAAUUCAGAGCUCCAGGAGCAUUCCCUUCCCCAUCAAGUGUUGGAAUUAUAAGAAAGUAUAAAGUUAUAUGACACAAGGAAGCAGACUGAAUUCAAAUUCAUCAGCAGGAUAUUUUCUCUGUUGUAAUGGCACGACUUAAUUUUUAUGAUGACAAAUUUCUGAAUGUUUAUUCCAGAAUGAUUUGAUAUAAUGACAGGACAUUAUUUUCUUGGGAAUUCAUGAUGACCUGAUAUAGAGAUGACCUUAGAGAAAUUAAAUUUAAAUAUGAUUUUUAUUAGAGCCAUAGCUGUUUACAGAAUUCAGCUGUAGGGCGGAGUUUUGGUAUACAUGAUGAGGAUAAAGCUGCAACCUUGAGUAGUUCUUUGAUUUUUCUCUUCUUGGAAAGAUUUUGAAAGGGGACACAGUUUUAAAGCAGUAUUAUAUAAAUCAUAUUCUGCUAAGAAACUCAUAAAGUAUGGGAUAAAACAAAUGUUUAAUAAAACCUUGUUUUGUGGGCUGGUGAGAUGGCUCAGUGGUCUAAAGCAC